UCAGUCUCAGCUGUUUCUACACGUGUAGGCCAGGUUCAUCUUGCAUCACUCCAAGCUUUCUGCCAUGCAAAUGCCCUGCAGCUACUGAGGUGACACCACAGAAGAGGUGGAGCACUAACACUGGAGUGGGCAGUGGCCUGGUUGCAAACAGUGUUCUAACAUUCUUGUAUUUUAGCUCCUUGCCUGGGAGCUCUUGUGUAGCUUAGUGGAAUUCAAGCAAAAUUAGACAACAGCUGCAGAAGGGACAUUUCCCACCCCUAUGUUGCAAUAAACCCCAUCAACAUGUGGGUAUCAUCCUAACAUGAUGCAGUGCAGCCCUUGAGGAAGAAGAGGAGUCCAUCAGCAGAAGUGUGGAAUAGCUCCCUUCCUGAAGACCCUCUGGCAUUGCAUAAUGCAGGCUGCAUGAUGGGUCUUAGCGUUUGUCUCUGUUGCACUACUGUGCUGGUGAGCUUAGGUCUUAGGUGGUCUUAAGAAGCAGCUUAGCAGUAGAAGCCGUCUCUGUGCUUUAUCACCCCAGCAUGACACCAUCUGGAAAAACAGCAGCAGAUGUCUGCUUGGUGAGGCUGAGGGAGAGAUUAAGGUGCUUACGGCCAAUGGGAGAGGUAGCAAGGGGAACUUUAGCCAUUGUGUUUCCAAGCAAGGUGCCUUGCACAAACAUGUGCCACCCGGGCAGAGGCAUCAGGAAAAGAGAGCUGAGAACAUCUCAUGUUCUCAUUACCCAGUGAUAUAAAUAUGUGAGAAAAGAGUGAGAAACCAUCUCCAGAAAUUGCUAUUUUGGUGAGAGACAAAUUGCAAAGGCAAUUGCUCAUACAGUUGUCCCUGCAAUCAAGACAGAAGGCAGCUGCAAGAGGUUUGGUGGGAUUUUUAAUGUGAAACCAAGCAGAGGAAGUGUGAAUAAAAACCUUGCAGAGAUGAGAUUUUGCUUAUUUACACAUAAUUAGGAGACUCUUGGCAAGGUGUGCCCUCCUAAGUAUUCCCCUAUCUUUCGCUGAGAUCUCUGACGCCAGCUUGCAAGAGCUGCAGUCUUCUGCACCUAACAAUGCAUUCAGUGACUCUAAGUGACAUUUAGGGACCACCAUCAACUUACAGAUGGAUCAGAUCCCUGGUGCACCCUUAGCGCACUUAUCUCCUCUUGGGAGAAUUAGAAUUAAGCAUCCUGGGGUCUUGCUUCCUCAUCCUGGCUCUCACCCUCUCCCAGUUUCAGUCCCUUUGAGGGACCCUGCCAGCAGGGCUCCUCCCCACCUUCUGCUUGGCUUUGCCUCCAUCCCAGUGACCACGUCAUCCCCCCAUAAAGAGGAGCCUGUGCAGGAGCCGGGGCUCAUGCUGUGCUGAGAGGACUCAUAAAGCUCCUUUUAACAUGUCCAGUACAAAGCUGAGCCUGUUCGGCUGCAGGUUGGGGGCUGCCGCCUGCCCUUCCUGCCUCUGCCAGGCACUGAGUCAUUGCCCCAACAUGGGGCUGCCAGCCCAGCACUGUCAAGAGGGCCAGGGCUGGUGGCCAAGGGGGAGAAACCUGCCCUGCUCACUGCUGCAACAGCCAAAAUGUGUGCCUCAAAGUAUUGCUUUUUCCCAGAGAUGCAAAUAGGAAAUAUUGUGGAAAAGACAUAAAUGGCAGCAGAGGAUAGUUGCAAACCAUCGGGGGAAAGAGAUAAGAGCCAUGAUGCUUGUUAUAACAGAAAGAGUUUUCCAGACAAAACACAGACUGUACCAUUCUAGAGAGAGUAAGGCUAUAGUAAUGUAAGUUAAGUACUAAGAGUAGAGUUAAGUUUGUGAUAAUGUUAUAUUGAUGUGUAGUAGAGAGAUUUUGAUUAUAUUUUAGUUUAUUGAAGAUUGAAUGUUGAUUAGAGUUUUUCAGUUGUUGUGAUAUGUUGACAUUUCACAGGAGCGAGGGGUGGAGUGUUGUAGUGGUUUGAAUCUUGUUUUCCCCCAGAGGCUAAGAAAAGUGGUAGACCCCAAGGGGUGGAAACACCUGGAAGUUUUGAAGUUCUGUCCAAUGGGCGCUCCUGCAAAAAUGUCAACAUUCCACAAGCUCACCGGAAGAGGAGAGUUGUAGUUUUGGUUGUUGAGGAGUGGUGGCCAUGUUGUAGAGCCAUGAGGAAGGGGCUCAGAGCCCCACAGGGGGGGCUUUGGCCCCCAACCCCCAGCGGGGGCCUGCGGGGACCUGGAACAGCAUAACGCUGAGUUAGGUGCCUGUAGUUAUGCCAGGAGAUGUUUUUCUCCAUGGGCGCAGAGCAGCAGCCGGCACUGACCAGAGAAACGGUGGCAGAGAGCCAGGACAGAUAAGAACUGAACCAAACAGCAAACGGCAUGCAGCACACAGAACUCCUGGAAGGAGACAGAGAGCCAAGAGAGAGCCAACAGCAGCAGAUGAGAGCAGAACUAGCUCUACAGACAGAGUUUGGGUCCACAGGUGAGGCCUUCACUUGGACCAAAGGAGAGCCAAGGGGCUUGGAGACCCCCUUGUGUGUAUUAAACAGAGAUCCAGCUACAACAACCCAGUAACUGCUGCAUGGAAGACAGAAGAGGAGCUGCUGCCCUAAAUGUGGAAGGGAUCUGUCCUUCUUUCCCUCCUGGACUUUUAUUUGGAGGGGAGAAGAGAUCUGAUCCAUUGUAAAUACUAUAUGUCAUGGUAGAGAUAGUUGUGAUUGUGUGUAUGAUGUAUUAUAAUAUUUAUUUGUACAGUCAUUGUAAUAUAUUCCCUUUCCCCCA